rnacentral:rRNA from 1 species
GUGGGGAGUUGGCUGACCCGGUCUACCACCGGGAUGUUCAUAACCCUUUGUUGUCCGACUCUGUUGCCUCCGGGGCGACCCUGCCUUCGGGCGGGGGCUCCGGGUGGACACUUCAAACUCUUGCGUAACUUUGCAGUCUGAGUAAACUUAAUUAAUAAAUUAAAACUUUUAACAACGGAUCUCUUGGUUCUGGCAUCGAUGAAGAACGCAGCGAAAUGCGAUAAGUAAUGUGAAUUGCAGAAUUCAGUGAAUCAUCGAAUCUUUGAACGCACAUUGCGCCCCCUGGUAUUCCGGGGGGCAUGCCUGUUCGAGCGUCAUUUCACCACUCAAGCCUCGCUUGGUAUUGGGCAACGCGGUCCGCCGCGUGCCUCAAAUCGACCGGCUGGGUCUUCUGUCCCCUAAGCGUUGUGGAAACUAUUCGCUAAAGGGUGCUCGGGAGGCUACGCCGUAAAACAAACCCAUUUCUAAGGUUGACCUCGGAUCAGGUAGGGAUACCCGCUGAACUUAAGCAUAUCAAUAAGACGGAGGAA